GGAGCUGUGGCUCAGGGGUAGAGCAUCUACCUUGCAUACAGUAGGUCCCUGGUUCCAUCCCCAGCAUCUCCA
rnacentral:tRNA from 1 species